UAUUUUCAGUUGUUCAUUGCA
rnacentral:miRNA from 1 species